CAUCCAUAAAUAUUGCUCGGCUCUGUAGCUCACUCUCCAAAGUUCAGAGUUCAUCUUUAAAGGAAGUGGUGCUGGCCCCGGUCGUGUGACCUGGCCGAAGUGGCUGCCUCAGGCUGGCACCUGGGCUUGAUAGAAUGAAGAAGAGAACAGCAUCAGUGGGGCCUCCGAAAAAUCUGGAGAAGAUUUUUUUCUUCCAAAUAUGGAAGAUACAAAGAUCAAGGAUGACAGGCUAGUGAUCAGGUCAUGUGACUGGUGUGGCAGCUCACUGGUUUUUCUGGACCCAGUCCCAACUGUCUUCAUUCUCUUUCCGGUUCUUCUCAGCUUCGAUAAUUUCUUUGUACCUUCGGCGAAAGAAGCCCAUCUGAAAGGCAGAAAGAAAGAGGAGAAGCUGAGUUAGAAGUGCUGAAGAAUCAGCCAUUGUGACCCCAAGGCAGUCUGUCCCUGGGUAGGUGUGACCUGCACUCACAGGGCUGGGGAGGCUUGGAGGACCCCUCGGAUUAGAGAAAACACUGGCAAGAAAAACAUCCGGUGGAGACAUUUUUCAAAAUGCAUGGACUUCCUGCGGGUGAUAUUAGGCUUCUUCACUGUGAGCCAAACAUCCAGGGAAGCAUCACAGCCACCCUGAUGGUCAUAAGCUCCCCUGAAGAAGGGAAGGCAGGUGGACCUGAGGAGCUGUCUGUUGCCACCAUCUUUCUACUUCCCUAAAGGGGGCUUAUUGGCCAAGCCAAAGACGAGAACUGUCAAGAGAGCCAGCAGGUAUCUUCACCCACGUUGCCAAGGAGAUCCUGAGCAUUCACUGUGAGGGGAAGUCGAUAAGGUGGUGCAGUUUGAAUGACUGGGAAAGAGCAGAAGCUUUCUUAGAACAACUGGCAAGAGUCUUGUGUUCUGAGCUUCAAUCCUCAAGGCCAGUUUUGUAAACAGAUAUUGAGUUCCUGGUGAUUUCAGCCCUGGAGGUUUCUUCCCAGCAUAAGACCACAUUCAUCAGAAUGCCACGUUCUGACGCCCCCACACAUAUACUUUUCUCUCCUGAAACCUCUUCACCUUCUCCCCUCUGCAAGAGAUGUGGAAAAGGUGCUUGGCCAGAAUUUUCUGGAUAAUUAAGAAAAAGUCAUAGACAUCAUCCCCACAGCACACCCACAGAAGGCCAGAAAAACGGACCAAGACUGAAUGGAAAUCUAAGAAGCUACUGCUUGAAAUGUCAUUCUUUUGCGAUAAAGGUGUGGUUGGCCAAGAAAACAUGACCAGAUGUGGCUGGUCACAUGCCAUGAAGGAGAAUGUAAUCAUGAAACUGUGGAAGGAUGUAACAGGGAAAUAAGAUUCUCUAGCACAUACCUUUGGCUGCUGAUGUUGUAAUGUGUCAAUAAUCCCAGGUCACUCAGUUGUAAUUCCAGAGAAGUCACAUUUCCCUACCAUGGCACUAUCAAGCAGAAACUUAACAGUCUGCCCUCUUAUUAUCUCCUGCAUUUGUCUUAGGACUCCUUGAAGGCAGGCUUUGUGCUUUCAAUCCCCAGUACUCAGCAUCUCACCUGUCCUUGGUACCAGCG
rnacentral:lncRNA from 1 species